rnacentral:rRNA from 1 species
UACGUAGGGUGCGAGCGUUGUCCGGAAUCAUUGGGCGUAAAGCGCUUGUAGGCGGUUUGUCGCGUCUGUUGUGAAAAUCCGAGGCUCAACCUCGGACUUGCAGUGGGUACGGGCAGACUAGAGUGUGGUAGGGGAGACUGGAAUUCCUGGUGUAGCGGUGGAAUGCGCAGAUAUCAGGAGGAACACCGAUGGCGAAGGCAGGUCUCUGGGCCAUUACUGACACUGAGAAGCGAAAGCAUGGGGAGCGAACAGG